CUGCGUCCAGCCACGCGCGUCUCGCGCGUCCCGCCACCUGCGUCCAUCCACCCUUGUCGUCUUCGUCCAGGCCGCCAGAUAAACCCAAGCAGUUGUGUUAUAUUUGCUUGGUGGCUUGUGUGCAGAAUGUGCUGGAUUCAUUGAUCCCGGUGCUACUGGCGGAUAAGAAUCGAAAGUUUAUCUAUGUUGAGCAUGUAGGUUUUGAUAUGAAAUUAGGCUUUAGGAUUUUAGAUUUUGGUGUUUUUGGUUGUAGAUUUGGGGUUUUUUUGCGGGAUGUAGGCUUUCUUUCAGCGGUGGUGGAGGCAGCAGAGUGAUGCUAUGAAGAAGACGGUGAUGGAGCUUGUGAACUCUGGUCAAUUAGAAUUCAUGCAAAGGAUUUCAUCUUUAGUUUUUUACCCCUGAACUAGUUAAACUUAUGUUACGAGUGACACAAAUUUGUCUUAUUAAUUUGUUACAUACAUACAUAAAUUCUUUGCAACCCUUUUUGUGUAGAAUUAGUACUGAUUUUUAAUAUCUAAUUAGAUUUAUUUUCUUUA